AACGAACGCUGGCGGCAGGCUUAACACAUGCAAGUCGAACGCCCCGCAAGGGGAGUGGCAGACGGGUGAGUAACACGUGGGAACGUGCCCAAAGGUACGGAACAACUCCGGGAAACUGGAGCUAAUACCGUAUGUGUCCGCAAGGAGAAAGAUUUAUCGCCUUUGGAUCGGCCCGCGUCGGAUUAGCUAGUUGGUGGGGUAAUGGCCUACCAAGGCGACGAUCCGUAGCUGGUUUGAGAGAACGACCAGCCACACUGGGACUGAGACACGGCCCAGACUCCUACGGGAGGCAGCAGUGGGGAAUCUUGGACAAUGGGCGCAAGCCUGAUCCAGCCAUGCCGCGUGGAUGAUGAAGGCCUUAGGGUUGUAAAAUCCUUUCGUCAGGGACGAUAAUGACGGUACCUGAAGAAGAAGCCCCGGCUAACUUCGUGCCAGCAGCCGCGGUAA
rnacentral:rRNA from 1 species